rnacentral:snRNA from 1 species
NNNNNNNNCUGACAGGGGAGAUACCAUGAUGACGAAGGUGGCUUUCCCAGGGCCAGUUAAGGGGGCCAUUGCACUCUGGAUGUGCUGACCCCUGUGAUUUCUCCCAAAUGUGGGAAACUCAGCUGCAUAAUUUGUGGUAGUGGGGAGACUGUGUUCAUGCUCUCCCCU